GAAACUAUCUGUCUGGGCACAGAUGUCUGCCUCCCUGGCAGGCUCCUGCUCACCCUGCUGUGGCCUACCAUUCUCAAGAUGCAGAGGAAAGGGUGGUGGGAUUCUGUAGGUGACUGUUUUAAAACAGCAAGACCAGGAGGGGCCUGUGCUGCUUUCUGGAACUUUCCGCAGCUAAGGAGGACAGCAUCGGGAAGACGAAACUGACUGUUUGCAUCUAUGAAGAACUGAGAGUUAACGACAAAGUUUCCAUGUGAUAGCACCCUUGAAGAAAGAAGAGAGAGAGAGCCAGAGCACGGGGCUUCCCAUGCCCAGAUCAUUGGUACAAUGACUCUGACUACAGCUCCUGGGCCCAGAAAAAGAGGUAGGAGAGAGGUCUGAGAAGGGACCCGGGGCUUUACAGUCAAGGCAGGGCUUAAGACAUUCUCGGAAGGAGGGGGACAGGCGAGCUACUGUACACAGCAAACGAGAUGAAAGGCAAGAAGAUUCCAGGAAUGAACACACAGAGCUUCUGAAACGCUCCGGCUCAAGGGCCCACAGUGGGGCUCAGAGGAGGGGGGAGAUGAAAUGGUCCCUGAAUGAAGCCCUUCCUCUGUGAUCCAGAAACCUCUGCUGGCCUUCACC
rnacentral:lncRNA from 1 species